CCUACGGGUGGCAGCAGUGAGGAAUAUUGGUCAAUGGGCGCGAGCCUGAACCAGCCAAGUGGCGUGAGGGAAGACGGUCCUAUGGAGUGUAAACCUCUUUUGUCGGGGAGCAAAAGACGCCACGCGUGGCGUUCCGAGAGUACCCGAAGAAAAAGCAUCGGCUAACUCCGUGCCAGCAGCCGCGGUAAUACGGAGGAUGCGAGCGUUAUCCGGAUUUAUUGGGUUGAAAGGGUGCGCAGGCGGAAGAUCAAGUCAGCGGUAAACUUGAGAGGCUCACCCUCUUCGAGCCGUUGAAACUGGUUUUCUUGCGUGUGCGAGAAGUCUGCUGACUGC
rnacentral:rRNA from 1 species